rnacentral:tRNA from 1 species
CGAGUAGUACUUUAAUCGAAAAGACUUGGGUUGCAUCUAAUAAUUAAAACAUCAGUUUUCUACUCU